CGAAUCGCAGCAAGUCGUACUGGGGGUUGCCGACACGAAAAACUGCAUGAAGAAAAUUGUGGAUAAACAUGACUUUUUUAUUUGCGUUUCAAAGCAGGCGUUUCCGUAGUUUGAAAAAGAAUUAAGACACUGUCCCGCUGAUGCGCAAAUGAACUGAAGAGGAAUCUACAGGACCCUUGCUCGCAUCUGUCUGGCCGAUCAGAGGUCCGACCUGAUGUUAAUUGCGAUGAUGUUUCCAUCUCUCUCUAUUAGAGAGAGGGCCAGUCCCGGCAGACGUGAAGAGAACCUCUGGCAGGUCAACAGAAAACUGAUUGAUGCGUAUCUCGGGACCUACGCGACCAUUACGAGAAAUGCGUAAUUGCAUCAAUUAACAAAUGGAUAUGGCCUUGUUUAACCAGCGAGUUACACCGUGAAAAUAUGCCUUUGAGGUGAAAUUAGACGAUCAGAAUGGAACUGAGAGAGAGAGAGAGAGAGAGAGAGAGAGAGAGAGAGAGAGAGAGAGAGAGAGAAAUUAGCUGAAUCUCUCAAGUCUAAUUAUACGGUAGUGGGAGGCGACGGGAACAGCAUUCUAAUUGAAGGAUGCGUACUUGAAAGGGAUGGUAGAAAUAUCGCUCCCUCACGCGGAAUAAGUCUGGAUAAAGGGUAACACAUGCAGUUUUAUUAAAUGUUUUAGACAAUAUAAUUAGAAGACCCCAUUUACUCUCCCUCUCUCUCUUUCUCUCCCUUGGUUUCUAUUGUUUUUUUUUUAUUUUAAGCUAAUGACAUUGCAUCAUUGUAUAGACACCACCUACCCAAGACAAACAUGUUUUAAUACUAUAGAUUUAGUUUAUACCAUUAUUUUAUUGCCGUUAGAGCCUAAGAAAGUUUUGCUUGUUGAUCUGAAAUGUCUAGGACACGUGGUCCUACAGUCAAGACACACUUAUCUAAAGUACUCAUCUAAAGGUUUAACUUCAUUGUGAAGUAUUGUUAUAUAAUUAAGUCUAUAUGUGACUUAAAAGAGCUGAAUGGCUGUCCUCGCGCAUCAUCAUCGUUCACGAGCAGCAGAGCAGCAGUGCUUGCGCGGUCGCUUCCAAACGCGUGGAAAUCCGUGACCAUUUGAUCGUUUUCACUGAUAAUAUGAGAGGCAUAGUUCAGUGACCCUGCUUUGAAAGGACGAGAGUCCUGUCCCAGAUGAUCUCUUUGCUAUUACAGGCUCACUCUUCGAGAGGCGCCAGAGAGCUGCGAGUAAGUGAACGGCGCCGAUGGAGCAGGUAAACCGUAAUGACGAGAGUGUUCAGGCCCAUCAAGAGUCGCGUUCAGUUCAGGUCACCGCCGUCCCUGUAUGUUCUGUGGCGAGUGUGUUACAAAGAAAACAGGGAAAAUACAGAUGUUUUGCUUAUGAGCUAUUUUAUUUAUCUGAAGGAAGUCAAUUAAACUGGCUAUUUGCCCCAAAAUAAAACUUUAGUCAUUUACUUAUAAUCAUGUCGUUCCAAACCGUUUGACUGUAUUUUUGUAUCGCGAACAGCUAAAGACUGUUUUGAAAAACUUUUGUCAAAAUAUAUCCCACAGAAGAUUUGCUUUAAAAAAAAUGAAUAUUUUGUGUAAUUUUUUCCUGUGAGUUAUCCCAUGCCAUUAAUUUGCAUUUAAGCUACUCUUUGUUCCUGCCAUAUAUUGUCUUACUUCAUAAACUCUACAAUGAAAAAAUAGAAGGAUAACACAAUGCAAUUUUAUAGACUAUAACACAUUUUGACAAAGUGUUGACUAAACAAAUUGACCCUAUUAAAUUGUGACAGUCAGUCUGUCUGUCUAUUCGUCCGUUCUUCCGUUUGUCUGUCUGUCUUGACUAGAUAUUUGAAUCUAAAACUCAAAUCUAAUAAAUCUAUUAAAUCCA